rnacentral:rRNA from 1 species
GACGAACGCUGGCGGCGUGCUUAACACAUGCCAGUCGAACGGACAGGCCCCUUUCGGGGUACUCGGGUGGCGAACGGGUGCGUAACACGUGAGUAACCUGCCCUUGACUUCGGGAUAACUUCAGGAAACUGGGGCUAAUACCGGAUAGGAAUCCUUGCUUCAUGGUCAGGGUUGAAAAGCUUCAGCGGUUUUUGAUGUACUCGCGGCUUAUCAGCUUGUUGGUGGGGUAGUGGAUUACCAAGGCGUUGACGGGUAGCCGGCCUGCGAGGGCGACCGGCGACAUUGGGACUGAGAGGCGGCACAGAUUGCGACGGGAGGGAGCAGUGGGGAAGAUUGACGAAUGGGCGGAAGCCUGAUGCAGAAAGGCCGCGUGCGGGAUGACGGUCUUCGGGUUGUAGACCGCUUGCAGCAGGGGCGAAGCUUGUGGUGACGGUACCUGCAGAAGAAGCACCGGCUAACUACGUG